GAUGAACGCUGGCGGCGUGCCUAAUACAUGCGAGUCGAGCGAACAGACGAGGAGCUUGCUCCUCUGACGUUAGCGGCGGACGGGUGAGUAACACGUGGAUAACCUACCUAUAAGACUGGGAUAACUUCGGGAAACCGGAGCUAAUACCGGAUAAUAUAUUGAACCGCAUGGUUCAAUAGUGAAAGACGGUUUUGCUGUCACCUAUAGAUGGAUCCGCGCCGCAUUAGCUAGUUGGUAAGGUAACGGCUUACCAAGGCAACGAUGCGUAGCCGACCUGAGAGGGUGAUCGGCCACCCUGGAACUGGGACACGGUCCAGACUCCUGCGGGAGGCAGCAGUAGGGACUCUUCCGCAAUGGGCGAAAGCCUGACGGAGCAAGGCCGCGUGAGUGAUGAAGGUCUUCGGAGCGUAAAACUCUGUUAUUAGGGAAGAACAAAUGUGUAAGUAACUAUGCACGUCUUGACGGUACCUAAUCAGAAAGCCACGGCUAACUACGUG
rnacentral:rRNA from 1 species